AUUGAACGCUGGCGGCAUGCCUAACACAUGCAAGUCGAACGAGUGGCGGACGGGUGAGUAAUUUCUGGGAACCUGCCUGAUGUAGGGGGAUAACUACUGGAAACGGUAGCUAAUACCGCAUACCAUCAGAUGUGCCCAGAUGGGAUUAGCUAGUCGGUGGGGUAACGGCGCACCUAGGCGACGAUCCCUAGCUGGUCUGAGAGGAUGACCAGCCACACUGGAACUGAGACACGGUCCAGACUCCUACGGGAGGCAGCAGUGGGGAAUAUUGCACAAUGGGCGAAAGCCUGAUGCAGCCAUGCCGCGUGUGUGAAGAAGGCCUUCGGGUUGUAAAGCACUGUCAGCGGGGAGGCGGUACCCGAAGAAGAAGCAACGGCUAACUACGUGCCAGCAGCCGCGGUAAUAC
rnacentral:rRNA from 1 species